rnacentral:rRNA from 1 species
GAACCCAGGUCAGGUG